GAAAUGUUGGGUUAAGUCCCGCAACGAGCGCAACCCUUAUCCUUUGUUGCCAGCGGUCCGGCCGGGAACUCAAAGGAGACUGCCAGUGAUAAACUGGAGGAAGGUGGGGAUGACGUCAAGUCAUCAUGGCCCUUACGACCAGGGCUACACACGUGCUACAAUGGCGCAUACAAAGAGAAGCGACCUCGCGAGAGCAAGCGGACCUCAUAAAGUGCGUCGUAGUCCGGAUUGGAGUCUGCAACUCGACUCCAUGAAGUCGGAAUCGCUAGUAAUCGUGGAUCAGAAUGCCACGGUGAAUACGUUCCCGGGUCUUGUACACACCGA
rnacentral:rRNA from 3 species